rnacentral:rRNA from 1 species
UACGUAGGGGGCAAGCGUUGUCCGGAAUCAUUGGGCGUAAAGAGCGUGUAGGCGGCCAGAAAAGUCCGCUGUGAAAACUCGAGGCUCAACCUCGAGACGUCGGUGGAAACCGUAUGGCUAGAGUCCGGAAGAGGAGAGUGGAAUUCCUGGUGUAGCGGUGAAAUGCGCAGAUAUCAGGAAGAACACCCGUGGCGAAGGCGGCUCUCUGGGACGGUACUGACGCUGAGACGCGAAAGCGUGGGGAGCGAACAGG